GCGAAGGUGGCGGAAUUGGUAGACGCGCUAGGCUUCAGGUGUUAGUGUCCUUACGGACGUGGGGGUUCAAGUCCCCCCCCUCGCACCA
rnacentral:tRNA from 1 species